GGGGAAUAUUGCGCAAUGGGGGGAACCCUGACGCAGCAACGCCGCGUGAGUGAAGAAGGUCUUCGGAUCGUAAAACUCUGUCAUCGGGGACGAAGAAGUGACGGUACCCGAGGAGGAAGCCCCGGCUAACUACGUGCCAGCAGCCGCGGUAAUACGUAGGGGGCGAGCGUUGUCCGGAAUUACUGGGCGUAAAGGGUGCGUAGGCGGUCUGUUAAGUCAGAUGUGAAAUACCAUGGCUCAACUGUGGGGUUGCAUUUGAAACUGGCAGGCUAGAGUGCAGGAGAGGGAAGUGGAAUUCCUAGUGUAGCGGUGAAAUGCGUAGAGAUUAGGAGGAACACCAGUGGCGAAGGCGGCUUCCUGGACUGUAACUGACGCUGAGGCACGAAAGCGUGGGUAGCGAAC
rnacentral:rRNA from 1 species